rnacentral:hammerhead_ribozyme from 1 species
AGCCGAAACCCUCCAGACCGUGGAGGGUCCGCCGGGGACUGUCCGCCCCGGUGCUGAUGAUGGCAGGACAAA